UGUUGGGUUCUGUUUUUUUCAUUUCAGUUUCAAUGACUUUGAUUUUGGGGGUAUACGGUGCUGUCAAUCUACAACUUGGCUCUAAUUGUUCUCUUCUAAUAACACCUAAUCCACUAUUUGUGGAGUCUAUAAAGGUGGAGCAAUUAGAUGAAGCAAACAAUGGACCUAUUCUAUAUGGAUUUUA